rnacentral:rRNA from 1 species
GAUGAACGCUGGCGGUAUGCUUAACACAUGCAAGUCGAACGGACUCUUCGGAGUUAGUGGCGGGCGGGUGAGUAACGCGUGAGAAUCUGGCUUUGGGUUCGGGACAACCACUGGAAACGGUGGCUAAUACCGGAUGUGCCGAGAGGUAAAAGAGAAAUUGCCUGAAGAUGAGCUCGCGUCUGAUUAGCUAGUUGGUGAGGUAAAGGCUCACCAAGGCAGCGAUCAGUAGCUGGUCUGAGAGGAUGACCAGCCACACUGGGACUGAGACACGGCCCAGACUCCUACGGGAGGCAGCAGUGGGGAAUUUUCCGCAAUGGGCGAAAGCCUGACGGAGCAAUACCGCGUGAGGGAAGAAGGCUCUUGGGUUGUAAACCUCUUUUCUUAGGGAAGAACAAAAUGACGGUACCUAAGGAAUCAGCAUCGGCUAACUCCGUG